ACUACGGGUGGCAGCAGUGGGGAAUAUUGGGCAAUGGGCGCAAGCCUGACCCAGCAACGCCGCGUGAAGGAAGGAGGCUUUCGGGUUGUAAACUUCUUUUGACAGGGAAGAGUAGAAGACGGUACCUAGCGAAUAAGCCACGGCUAACUCCGUGCCAGCAGCCGCGGUAAUACGUAGGUGGCAAGGGUUGUCCGGAUUGACUGGGGUGAAAGGGCGGGUAGCCGGGUUGACAAGUCAGAUGUGAAAUCCUGCGGCUCAACCGCAGAACUGCCUUUGAAACUGUUGAUCUUGAGUACGGGAGAGGCAGACGGAAUUCCUGGUGUAGCGGUGAAAUGCGUAGAUAUUAGGAGGAACACCAGUGGCGAAGGCGGCCUGCUGGACAGCAACUGACGGUGAGGCGCGAAAGCGUGGGGAGCAAACAGGAUUAGAUACCCCAGUAGUC
rnacentral:rRNA from 1 species